rnacentral:misc_RNA from 1 species
UCCGAGUUGACCCCGGCAGUCUCCUAUGAGUCCCCACCAUAACCCGCUGGCAACAUGGGACAAGGGUUGCGCUCGUUGCGGGACUUAACCCAACAUCUCACGACACAAGCUGACGACAACCAUGCACCACCUGUGAACCGGCCCUUGCGGACCUCCCAUCUCUGGGAGAUUUCCCUAUAUGUCAAACCCAGGUAAGGUUCUUCGCGUUGCAUCGAAUUAAUCCGCAUGCUCCGCCGCUUGUGCGGGCCCCCGUCAAUUCCUUUGAGUUUUAGCCUUGCGGCCGUACUCCCCAGGCGGGGCGCUUAAUGCGUUAGCUGCGGCACGGAACUCGUGGAAUGAGUCCCACACCUAGCGCCCAACGUUUACGGUGUGGACUAC